UUAGGUUAUUAACUGACCUUCUAGUGUUCUGGUAAUGUACUAUUGAGUUCUAUUUAUAGAUGGCACAGUAAAAUCCUUCCCCGGACUUGCACCUAAAAUUGAGAAGGUGCCAGAACAUUAAAGACUAUGAGCCAUACACCAGGAUCAUCACAGCAAGAAGCCUGUUCCUGUUUGUAAACAGCGGACACAACUUCUCAUUCGGCAUGGAAUUUUGUUAGGAUCUGCUGUAGCAGCUUGUGAAACAGAAGCACGGGAGUACAGACUGAGCAGAACUAGCAGAGUGAAGCUGAGAACGCACUGGCCUUUGUGUGUGGUGAAUGUGUCCGGAAAGGCAAAGAAGGACGAGAUUCUCCUGUGGGGUUUCUCAUCUCCAUGGCGGAAGGUGCUGACAGCUUCAGAGAGAGCAGGAAGGCGCAAAGAAGAAGGGAGCCUGAGAUGUGUAGUCGCGGCGCUCUGAGGAGAUGAAAAGGACAUGCGGUUUUAGCCUGAACUUCCUUAUCUGUAACUAAGGAGCUGUGACUUGUGCCCUUCUCUGGAGCCACUUAGAUGCUCCGCCACACCAAUGACCUCUUGACUCCGUGUAGUUGCCUGGAAUAAUGGGCUUCGGCAUCCUUGCAUCAUCACUGCCUCAAGAAGCAGUCUUGUUUGUGACGUUCUGAUUGGUCACUCCAAGGUCAUGUGACUCUGCACCAGGGGCAGGUGAAGAAACAUUCCGGUGGUAAGUGGCUUCUUCCAUUUCUACCGCAUCAUCCCAAUCCUAGCCGCCAGCCACCAUCCUCUCUUACCUGAUCAUUGAAAUGCCUUCCUGGGUUACUCCCCGCGUCAGCUUUUAAAUUUCUCCAACCGAUUUUCCACUGGAUCGCCAGAGAGGUCUUUUGAAAAACAGAAAUGUUAUUAUGCUGUGCUCUUAGUGAAGGUACUUCAGUUGCUUUUAUUGCUCUUGGGAGAAAGACCCAAAUCUUAAAUUCUGCCGCUAGGUCCCUUAUGCUCUGUCUCUAGCUCUCUUUCCAGCUUCCACUCCCGCCCCCCGCCCCGCCUCCCCUGCCUGAAUUCAGUUCUUUGGAAAGCAUGCCCUAUGCAUCCUUGAGUCACAGAGCCUUUGCAAAUGCUGUUUAUCUGCCUGGGAAACUCUUUUUCUCUUUCUUCCUAUUUGGUUAACUUGUAUUCAUUUUACGGAUUGUAGCUCAGACAGCCAUCUCUCCCAGACUAGGUAAAGACCCAGUAUUAUAAGCUAUUGCAAGAAACAGAGGAGAAAUAUGUAUUCAAGUUAAGGGUUAAACAGAGGCUAUAAAUGGGACAGUUUGCAAGAUGCUGGCCAUGGUGCUCUUUUAUAUUAUGCCAUUCAUUCUCUACCAAAAGAUUUUGAGAGAGUCAAACACUGUCCCUGUUUUAUUUACUUUUUAAAAAAGAUUUUAUUUAUUUGAGAGAGUGAGAGAGAGCGAGAGCGAAAGAGAGAGCGCACCCAAGGGGAAAGGCAGAGGGAGAAGCAGGCUCCCCACUGAGCAGGGAGCCUGAUGUGGGGCUCGAUCCCAGGACCCUGGGAUCCUGACCUGAGCCGAAGGCAGAUGCUUAACCGACUGAGCCACCCAGGCACCCUGUCCCUAUGUUUUAAAUCAAUAAAAGGAAGCUGAAAGAUAUUUGUAAGAUGCAGCUGAGAUGUGGUAGAACCAUGACUAGAAUCCAAGUCUUUGAUCCCCAUACUUUUGUCCUUUAACAACGCUAAUGUAAGAUCAGCCAUAAUAUGGAGCAUGGACGGGACCCACGGUAGCAGGAGAAGGGUUAUUUACAUUUCAGGUCAGAGCUAUCCGCUCUGUAUGAAAGUAGCAAGAGAUGAGUUCGAAGGGUGUUAUGUAGACCAGGUAAAACCAGGUUUUUACCUGAUCAGGAAAGCCUGAUUUCAGUGAUAAAAAUGCAGAUGAGCUCCUGUAAUGAUAGGUUCUUAUGAGAACCAGGCCUUAAAAAAGCUUAGAACAAAGGGUGCAGCAUCCAGACUACACCUGUAGUGAGAGCCUUAACAACUAGAUAGUGACUGUGUCUCAAACAAACAAAAUAGGACGGUGAACAAGGCCCAAGUUGAGAACAUGUUUACCAAAGGGCACAGGCAGGAGCAGUGAAGAGCAUGCUCUCGCUUGAAGGUCAAGUCCUUCACCAAACGCUCUCUGAUCACCCUGGCCAAAAGGCAAUCUCCCUCCUUGCUCCAGCCAUUCUCCGCGUUAAUGCUUCAUUUUGACAGCCCUCAAAGGCACGGUUCCACAGAAGCAAGACUUUUACUAAUUCCUAAAGUGGGUGG
ensembl:lncRNA